AGGCUACUGCCCCACAUGGAAAAGCUUUAUAUUGUACAUUUACGAGGGAAAUCAAUUGAAGUAGAAUGGUUGAAACACAGCCCAGACGAGGAUGUCCUAGUUUAAAGAUUUAAAUGUGGAAAUGUUGCCACCGCAUCGCAUUUUUUUCACAAGGCUUUGGCAUUUGCACCAGUAGUGAACACACACAUAGGCUACAACACACACAAUAGUGCGGAUGUCUGUGGUCACUGCACAAACCCCAGCUACGCAGAAUAGGAGACGUUCACAUUUGGAAUGUGGAUUAAAAAAACAAUGUUGCUCCAUCUAAUAGAAGGCUAUACAUAAAAUGUACAAAUAAGAUGGAUGGCAAACCAACGGGAAUAGCCUACGUCCGUUUCCUACCAAAAGGAAUAGGAACGAAUAACAUCGAAUACAUUUCGAUUCCCCGGAAAGGACACCCGGAAUAUGAUAGCAUCAGAGUACAGUUGACGCAAGUACCUACAGCGCUCUACCCACUCCUGGAGCAGCACGGACCUUUCUCACCUGCUCAGAAGGCGCCGGACCCCUUAACACGCCACCUAUCUUCACGCGGAGGGAUAAUUGAGGAGUAUGUGUGUGAGCGUCGUUUGGAGAAGAACGUGAUCAAGUUGUUGUCUCCCUUGAGAUUACAUUUAUCAUUUGUAGGCUAUGCUUUGAGUCAAAGGUUAGAGGAAUUACCCACGAAGCAGACUUCCAAUAGCGACAUCACAAAUGAAAUAAAACAGCACUGUAAUUGCAGUGAGAGAGAAGAUCUUUAUAAUUCGGCGACAGGCACUGUCCAUACUGGCAUAUGAGUCAAAUCUGUGAAAGGAGCGCCGAAGUACCUGAUUGGAGCGCACAGGUAGUUUACCUGUACAUAUAGUUCCCUUCCUGCGUGUAUCCAGAGGCACAACAGCGGAUAGGUAGCCGACCUCUGCCUUUUUAUCUUGACUUAGUGACUUUAUAUUCACAUUGAAAAUCCUUCUGUGCCAUUCCGCAUUGUAUUUACUGUACAAAAACGAAAGGGGGAAGAUGCAGACAUAUUUUUCUACCGGGCUCUCACUGGCAUUAACUAAACACGCUGCGGCAAAGGCGUAAUUUACAACCUGCAAAUAUGCAUAUCAUACUAUAUAGGGCUUUUUUAUUUAUUAUGUUUCAUGUUUAUCAUAGUUAAAAAUAAAAAUAAAUCAUCAUCACUUGUAGGCUCCAGUCAGUCAUGUGCAGCGGAGAGUAACUAACACACAUGGUUUGUGGUUGGUAAAGUAGGCUAUUCCCCUCCCUUCUCGGUAUCUAUUUAUUUUCUGGAUGGAUGGAUGAUAAGUUCACAAAUGGAUGGAAGCGGCUAUAUGAUGAACCCACUCAAAGCCAUUUGGAUUUGAAUGGAGCUCAUACGAAACCAGGAAUAUGGAAACUUGAUCAAGAUGGCAGGUUAUCAGGAGGAAGAGCGCUGGGUGCUGGUGUCCUCAUCACGUUCUCAACUUACUGUUACUGUAUGGCAGAUUUCGUUGAGCAAUUCAUUUGGUUUUGGGCUGUUCCCUGGCGUCUCCACCUCCCAGAGAAAUGUCUGAGGCCUUGAUAUAUUCCUCUCAGGUUUCCAUGGCCGCACCGCCCGGGCCAGAUCCCGUUGCACUGAUGUCACUCAUGAAUUGAACCACCUCUCUACGGGAAGGGAUUCACAAGGCAGGGCUUCAGCCCACUCCACCCGACCACAGGGCCUAAGAGCAUGGGUGUGACUGGCUCACAGCUCAGCCUCGCCUCCCUCUCUCCUGGAUCCUCCAGCCCAGGAGCAAACCUGUGGCUUGGCAUCAUGCUAUGCUGUUAGUUAUACCCCAACGGUACCCCAUAUAUGGAUAUUUUAUUGAGGUGUCCACAGAAUGACAUAUGUAUUGUCGAUAACACAAGCUGUGAAGCUUGUGGAUAGGGUCGCCUUUGUUGAUGUUUGUUGAUGUUUCAUGACACUUUUAUGUCACCUAUGUGGAUACAGGCAUCCCUUUGGAAUUUGUGGUUGAGUGGAACAAUUGAGCGGUGAGGGGAAAAUAGAACCGUAAUUAAAGAGUAAAUUCAGCUACCCUAUGAUUUUAGAAUAAAGAAAAGCAGAGGAACUAUUUCGACGUAAGUUACUGAGGCUGUAUAAAGCGAAUCAAGCUCGCAUGGAGCCAAUACGGAGCCAAUGCAACUGGUAAUGCCACAUGUUUUAAAAACAGUCUAUUCUAAGUUUGUGAAACAGUGAAAUCUUGCAUCCUGUUCCUAUGGUGGUUCUAAUUUUGUAGAUACGAACAGAGGGCAUGUAAGUUCAAGCAAGCUAAAAUCAUUAAUAGAAACUGGGUUAAUAUUUAACACACUCACUGUAUAUAUCCAUGCUUUGACAUCUGUACUACAUACUCCUGACGUCUGUACUACCCCCCCACGUCACACGAUCGCACGCGCGCGCGCGCACACACACACACACACACACACACACACACACACACACACACACACACACACACACACACACACACACACACACACAC